rnacentral:rRNA from 1 species
UUUGGUUAAGUUAGAAAGGGCGCACGGUGGAUGCCUUGACACUAGGAGUCGAUGAAGGACGGGACUAACGCCGAUAUGCUUCGGGGAGCUGUAAGUAAGCUUUGAUCCGAAGAUUUCCGAAUGGGGAAACCCACCAUACGUAAUGGUAUGGUAUCCUUAUCUGAAUACAUAGGGUAAGGAAGACAGACCCAGGGAACUGAAACAUCUAAGUACCUGGAGGAAGAGAAAGCAAAUGCGAUUUCCUGAGUAGCGGCGAGCGAAACGGAACAUAGCCCAAACCAAGAGGCUUGCCUCUUGGGGUUGUAGGACAUUCUAUACGGAGUUACAAAGGAACGAGGUAGGCGAAGCGACCUGGAAAGGUCCGUCGUAGAGGGUAACAACCCCGUAGUCGAAACUUCGUUCUCUCUUGAAUGUAUCCUGAGUACGGCGGAACACGUGAAAUUCCGUCGGAAUCUGGGAGGACCAUCUCCCAAGGCUAAAUACUCCCUAGUGAUCGAUAGUGAACCAGUACCGUGAGGGAAAGGUGAAAAGCACCCCGGAAGGGGAGUGAAAGAGAUCCUGAAACCGUGUGCCUACAAAUAGUCAGAGCCCGUUAACGGGUGAUGGCGUGCCUUUUGUAGAAUGAACCGGCGAGUUACGAUCCCGUGCGAGGUUAAGCUGAAGAGGCGGAGCCGCAGCGAAAGCGAGUCUGAAUAGGGCGUUUAGUACGUGGUCGUAGACCCGAAACCAGGUGAUCUACCCAUGUCCAGGGUGAAGUUCAGGUAACACUGAAUGGAGGCCCGAACCCACGCACGUUGAAAAGUGCGGGGAUGAGGUGUGGGUAGCGGAGAAAUUCCAAUCGAACCUGGAGAUAGCUGGUUCUCCCCGAAAUAGCUUUAGGGCUAGCCUUAAGUGUAAGAGUCUUGGAGGUAGAGCACUGAUUGGACUAGGGGUCCUCAUCGGAUUACCGAAUUCAGUCAAACUCCGAAUGCCAAUGACUUAUCCUUAGGAGUCAGACUGCGAGUGAUAAGAUCCGUAGUCAAAAGGGAAACAGCCCAGACCGCCAGCUAAGGUCCCAAAGUGUGUAUUAAGUGGAAAAGGAUGUGGAGUUGCUUAGACAACUAGGAUGUUGGCUUAGAAGCAGCCACCAUUUAAAGAGUGCGUAAUAGCUCACUAGUCGAGUGACUCUGCGCCGAAAAUGUACCGGGGCUAAAUACACCACCGAAGCUGCGGAUUGAUACCAAUGGUAUCAGUGGUAGGGGAGCGUUCUAAGGACAGUGAAGUCAGACCGGAAGGACUGGUGGAGUGCUUAGAAGUGAGAAUGCCGGUAUGAGUAGCGAAAGACGGGUGAGAAUCCCGUCCACCGAAUGCCUAAGGUUUCCUGAGGAAGGCUCGUCCGCUCAGGGUUAGUCAGGACCUAAGCCGAGGCCGACAGGCGUAGGCGAUGGACAACAGGUUGAUAUUCCUGUACCACCUCUUUAUCGUUUGAGCAAUGGAGGGACGCAGAAGGAUAGAAGAAGCGUGCGAUUGGUUGUGCACGUCCAAGCAGUUAGGCUGAUAAGUAGGCAAAUCCGCUUAUCGUGAAGGCUGAGCUGUGAUGGGGAAGCUCCUUAUGGAGCGAAGUCUUUGAUUCCCCGCUGCCAAGAAAAGCUUCUAGCGAGAUAAAAGGUGCCUGUACCGCAAACCGACACAGGUAGGCGAGGAGAGAAUCCUAAGGUGUGCGAGAGAACUCUGGUUAAGGAACUCGGCAAAAUGACCCCGUAACUUCGGGAGAAGGGGUGCUUUCUUAACGGAAAGCCGCAGUGAAUAGGCCCAAGCGACUGUUUAGCAAAAACACAGCUCUCUGCGAAGCCGUAAGGCGAAGUAUAGGGGGUGACACCUGCCCGGUGCUGGAAGGUUAAGGAGAGGGGUUAGCGUAAGCGAAGCUCUGAACUGAAGCCCCAGUAAACGGCGGCCGUAACUAUAACGGUCCUAAGGUAGCGAAAUUCCUUGUCGGGUAAGUUCCGACCCGCACGAAAGGUGUAACGAUUUGGGCACUGUCUCAACCAGAGACUCGGUGAAAUUAUAGUACCUGUGAAGAUGCAGGUUACCCGCGACAGGACGGAAAGACCCCGUGGAGCUUUACUGUAGCCUGAUAUUGAAUUUUGGUACAGUUUGUACAGGAUAGGCGGGAGCCUUUGAAACCGGAGCGCUAGCUUCGGUGGAGGCGCUGGUGGGAUACCGCCCUGACUGUAUUGAAAUUCUAACCUACGGGUCUUAUCGACCCGGGAGACAGUGUCAGGUGGGCAGUUUGACUGGGGCGGUCGCCUCCUAAAGUGUAACGGAGGCGCCCAAAGGUUCCCUCAGAAUGGUUGGAAAUCAUUCGUAGAGUGCAAAGGCAUAAGGGAGCUUGACUGCGAGACCUACAAGUCGAGCAGGGACGAAAGUCGGGCUUAGUGAUCCGGUGGUUCCGCAUGGAAGGGCCAUCGCUCAACGGAUAAAAGCUACCCCGGGGAUAACAGGCUUAUCUCCCCCAAGAGUCCACAUCGACGGGGAGGUUUGGCACCUCGAUGUCGGCUCAUCGCAUCCUGGGGCUGUAGUCGGUCCCAAGGGUUGGGCUGUUCGCCCAUUAAAGCGGUACGCGAGCUGGGUUCAGAACGUCGUGAGACAGUUCGGUCCCUAUCCGUCGUGGGCGUAGGAAAUUUGAGAGGAGCUGUCCUUAGUACGAGAGGACCGGGAUGGACGCACCGCUGGUGUACCAGUUGUUCUGCCAAGGGCAUAGCUGGGUAGCUAUGUGCGGAAGGGAUAAGUGCUGAAAGCAUCUAAGCAUGAAGCCCCCCUCAAGAUGAGAUUUCCCAUAGCGUAAGCUAGUAAGAUCCCUGAAAGAUGAUCAGGUUGAUAGGUUCGAGGUGGAAGCAUGGUGACAUGUGGAGCUGACGAAUACUAAUAGAUCGAGGACUUAACCAUAUAA